AAACAUUUUUGCUCUUGCAGUGCACACUUAAAUCAUGGAACUCCUCGCCUGCUGUCGCAGACUGGUGUGGAGCCUAACAGGACAUUUCAACCCAGAUUCUUCCUAGAAGUAUGGAAGUUGGUGCAGCUUCAUAGACUAUCCUGAGCUGGAAUAGACCCACAAGGGUCAUCAAGUCCAACUCCUGGCCCUGCACAGGAGAAGCCCAAGAAUCCCAACAUGUGCCUGAGAACACUGUCCAAGCACUUCUUGAACUCUUGGAGGCUUGCUACCAUAAUCACUUCACUGGGGAGUCUGUUCCAGUGCACAACCACCCUCUGGCUGGAAAAACUUUUCCUAAUAUCCAACUUAGAGACAGAAGCACUGAAAGUACUUGGAGAAGAGCUUUACUGGGUUUACACGGCAAGGUAGAGGCAGAGGAGGGCAGCAGAGGCGGCUUCUGCGAGAAGACAUCAGAAGCUCAUCUCAUGUCAGACAGAUGGUUCUACAGAAUCAAAUCACAGAAUCACAGAAUACCAGGCUGGAAGGGACCUCAAGGGUCAUCUGAUCCAACCUCUUGGCAAAAUCACAAACCAAUUCUUCUUAUUGUUACCUAUUUUACUUUUCAUUAUUUUUAUUUUACUUACAGGCUUUUACAGUAGAAAGUUAAUCCUAAUGGUGAUACCUACUUUGAUUUACAUAAUAUCUUUCUGAGACCAAGAGUACCUUUGUAAACAGACACUAUAACCCACAUCUGGCAUGCAAUCAACUUGCAAAUCAACUAACAUGAGCAGUAGAACAAACUAUAUGACCGAGGCAUUGCAGCACUUUGUAUCCUGCUUUAAAUAUUGAGCUAAAAGAAGACAAGACUUCUUAAGACAUACAGCAUUUCCAUACUGUUUUGCCAGGUCUGAACGAUAUUAAUCAAAACACUAGAGUGCAGUAACAUGUUUAAGCUUUUGUGUCCUGUGAAAUACAAGUUUGCAUAAUUCAGAAGAGGGAAGUGAUUUAAAUUGAUAACUUCUAACUAAUCUGAAAAACUACACUGUAACAUAGCCUGGAGUUUAUAACCUGCUGUGAAAUAUAUCUUUCUAAUGAAAGCUAUUUGCACAUCACAGGGUGCCAAUGGGAGGCUACAUUACAGCCCAACAGUACUUCAAUUCCAUAUUAAUAUGGAAUAAGGUCAAGCUAUUUUUCUUCAGUUUAAAUAUAUACCUCAUUGCUACUGCCUACAAGAUCCUGAGACUUUUUCACCUUUAAUCAUACACUUGAGGAAUCCAUAGCACCACAUAGUCAAAAGACCAUAAGCAUUGAUUUGAUCCAAUGACUGAUGUUCUUACAGAAUACGGAAAGAUAAAACUUAUGAAGACUAUUAUACUAGUCUUGUUUUCCCUACUUUGUGAGCUCUUGAAAACUUAAAAGCCAAUUUAAAAAGGCAUAGAAAAGAGCUACUAAAAUGACCAAGAAACCAGAGAACCUCUUAGAAGAGAGGAUGUGAAUAGCCUGUUCAGUCCAGCAAAAGGAUGUGAUUAUUCACCAAGCAAAUCCAAGUAAACAACAAUGUUGAGUGAAAAGAAAAUUAGCAUAAACAUGUUUGAAUUUCCAGAUGAAAUUUAUUUUUAAUGAGUUAUUCAAUUCUCAGAGUAACAAGGUUCUAGAACAGUUUUCUAGCAGAAACAGAAAGGAAAAAAAUUGUUUUUAAAAUGGAACUUGACAAGUAGGGAUUACAUUGUGUAAUACUAGCAGGAGACUGGAUUUAAUAAAGUAAAUCCAUGGUACCAAAUUUCUCUGUAUUCCAGAUUUACUUAUAAUUACAGUUUUGAGAAUACAGGAAAAAUAGAAAGGCAAAGAUACAGCACUGUCUUACUUAUUCAGUAGGAAGAAGGAUUGUAUUGUCCUCUGUUUUGUUGGGUUUUUUUUUGCCUUUUUUUUUUUCAGAGGAUGAAUACGAAGUUAUUUACUAUUACAGGAAACUGCAAAUUGCUGUAGCACUUCUGCCCACAAAAACCCAAGAGAUCUGGACAAGUUCAGUGACCACAGCAUCAUAUUUUCCAUUGUAGUAAAGACAAUAUUCCUGAAGCAGCUGGUCUCUUAUUAAUAGAAUUCAUUUAUCUUAUUCAUAGCAAAUGAAGCACACA